rnacentral:tRNA from 1 species
CGCGGAGUAGAGCAGUUUGGUAGCUCGUCAGGCUCAUAAUCUGAAGGUCAUGGGUUCAAAUCCCAUCUCCGCAACCA